CCUACGGGAGGCAGCAGUGAGGAAUAUUGGUCAAUGGGCGCGAGCCUGAACCAGCCAAGUAGCGUGAAUGAUGACUGCCCUACGGGUGGUAAACUUCUUUUAUAAAGGAAUAAAGUGAGGCACGUGUGCCUUUUUGUAUUUACUUUAUGAAUAAGGAUCGGCUAACUCCGUGCCAGCAGCCGCGGUAAUACGGAGGAUCCGAGCGUUAUCCGGAUUUACUGGGUUUAAAGGGAGCGUAGAUGGGUUGUUAAGUCAGUUGUGAAAGUUUGGGGCUCAACCGUAAAAUUGCAAUUGAUACUGGCAGCCUUGAGUACAGUUGAGGUAGGCAGAAUUCGUGGUGUAGCGGUGAAAUGCUUAGAUAUCACGAAGAACUCCGAUGGCGAAGGCAGCUUCCUAAACUGACACUGACAUUGAUGCUCGAAAGUGUGGGUAUCAAACAGGAUUAGAUACCCGGGUAGUC
rnacentral:rRNA from 1 species